AUUGAACGCUGGCGGCAGGCUUAACACAUGCAAGUCGAGCGGAGAUGAGGUGCUUGCACCUUAUCUUAGCGGCGGACGGGUGAGUAAUGCUUAGGAAUCUGCCUAUUAGUGGGGGACAACAUUCCGAAAGGAAUGCUAAUACCGCAUACGCCCUACGGGAGAAAGCAGGGGAUCUUCGGACCUUGCGCUAAUAGAUGAGCCUAAGUCGGAUUGGCUAGUUGGUGGGGUAAAGGCCUACCAAGGCGACGAUCUGUAGCGGGUCUGAGAGGAUGAUCCGCAACACUGGGACUGAGACACGGCCCAGACUCCUACGGGAGGCAGCAGUGGGGAAUAUUGGACAAUGGGGGAAACCCUGAUCCAGCCAUGCCGCGUGUGUGAAGAAGGCCUUAUGGUUGUAAAGCACUUUAAGCGAGGAGGAGGCUACUGAGACUAAUACUCUUGGAUAGUGGACGUUACUCGCAGAAUAAGCACCGGCUAACUCUGUGCCAGCCGCCGCAGUAA
rnacentral:rRNA from 1 species